rfam:Oryza sativa Japonica Group DNA, chromosome 1, cultivar: Nipponbare, complete sequence.
UUUAAGUGCAACCAUAAGUUUCCACGUCCAACUUUUUAUCGUCCGUCUUAUUUGAAAAAUUUUUAUAAUUAAUAUUUUUGUUGUUAUGAGAUGAUAAAACAUAAAUAAUACUUUACUCGUGACUUAUAUUUUUAAUUUUUUUAUUUUUUUAAAUAAGACGAACGGUUAAAGUUGAACGCGGAAAACCAUGACUGCACUUAAA